GAAUGUGAGGAUGACCUGGAUGAGAUAUCUGUCACCCUGUUGAUCACCCAGGUUUAUUUGAGUGAUUUAGCUGGCUAGUUGGGUGUCAUCUUCCUCCCUCACAAUCCCUACAGAAGGUGCAUACUUUAUCAAAAAGGACAACCUUCCCUGAUAAGGAAGGACAGUCAUUUGGCCUCAGUAAGUGUAUAUGAGUUGCUGAGAUCAUCUAUAUAUGAGUUUCAUUCAACUGUAAAGGAGAAUAGAAAAAUCAUUCACAAGAAAAUAACUUGGAAGAAAAUCAUCAUGUUAUAUGAAAUAAACAAAACGGAU
ensembl:misc_RNA 7SK 7SK RNA